AAAAUGAACAACAAGCAAAGAUUUCAUUGUGUGCUGUCCAGGAUGAGAAAUGCCUUCAUUUGCAUCUGCACUUAAACCGACUAAACCAUUCCCAAAUCUUGGAUGGUGAGUAAACUGCUGGAAUGGAAGGGUUGAGGCACAAUAAAUCUGUUUCCCACAUAGAUCUUGAUGUGCAUCACAGUAUGCUCAGAAAUAAAGAUCGCAGGUGUGGGAAUAAGUAUGUUGUAUUUGUAAAUGCAAACUGAAAGUUAAUACUGAGUUUCUUGCACUUCUGGUGAACGCUGCAAAAGUAAUUUUCGCAUAUCAGAAUUAGAUAUAAGGAACAGUAGUCAAAUACGUUGCACAACUUAGUAAAUUUGUUCAAAUGAAGUCUCCAGACUAAAACAGGAAACGAAAUUUAAAGCACCGAUCUGCCAUUAACGUGACAUGAACUUGCUCUAUUCAUCUGAAGUUCUGAACCACUCCUUUCCAAUGUGAUGCAACUUUCAAACAUUUUUAAACUCAUCUUUGCUAUUUACAUAUCACACAAGUUAAGUCCAGGCUUCACAUUCAUCUAGUGGAUUGCACUUUAAGGAAUCACAGACACUUAUCGAAGGGGGAAAGAGAACAUACCUAUCCUCAUGAGAAAUUCGAGAACCAAGAGAUCAUGGAAAAGUUUGCACAAAAGUCGAGAUCUUAACAAAAAAGCCUGCAGUGGCAUGUCCCUUCGACCCUACAAUGAGAAGCAGACUCACGUCCAAGGUCCCUUCAGCAACUUCUCCUAGACUUACUGGUAAGGCGAUGGUGAAGGAAGGGUAAAUAGACCUUUCCAUAGGUCACUGAGUAAAUUCACCAAUUGAACUCCAAUGAAAUCUGCAACGCAAACAAGACUGAGAGAAUAUUGGCGAAUGAGACAGAGCACAGCGAUAACAAACGAAUUGAAUGAGCAUACAACAAACAGCUAGUGUGCGAAAAAUAACCUGAGAAAUCCAAAUUCAAACNNNNNNNNNNNNNNNNNNNNNNNNNNNNNNNNNNNNNNNNNNNNNNNNNNNNNNNNNNNNNNNNNNNNNNNNNNNNNNNNNNNNNNNNNNNNNNNNNNNNAAUCUGGGUAGACUUCAAGUAGGAGAGUAGAGCAGGAGAAGGAAACGGCGGCAUGAUUCCUGAUUUUGACGAGAGCAAAUGCACGUCCGGAGUCAUGUCGCGAGAAUGACUUUGGAAGAAGGCAUUCAGACAAUUCCAACGCCAUCUCCGGAGGAACCGUAGAGGGUUCAUCGCACCCACCACGAUCACAGCUACUAAGCAGAGAGGGCACCAAAGCGAACAAUCCCUCAAGUAAUAUUCGAGUCCAAAUCCUUUUAAGUAAUUGGCAUGCAAUUCAACCUAAUUUCUGGGAUUUCGCGGAUGAGGGGCCAAUAGCAGCCGGUCCCUUUCUUGCAUCGCUCCUCCAGAAUCUCACAAAUUUCGAUACGGAGUCGUAAUAGGGAGGGAGGGAGGUCAUCCAGAGGCAACUCCCUCAGCUUCGGGCAAUUCUGGAUAGUUAAGCUCUGGAGAGACGAAGGGAGAUUGCUAGACAGUCUUUCCACGUUUUCCAUAUUAAUGAUCCACAGACGGUGCAAAGAGGGAAGGGGUGGAAGCGCAAGAUCCUCCUCCUUCCCCACUCCUCCAGUGUAGCCGUCGAUCCACAGAUCUUGAAGGGAGGUGAGGGGGGUAAGCCACUCCUCAACCGGCUGCUUCAUAUUCCCGCGUAUCUUUACCCAGAGUACUCGUAGCUGGGGUGGCAAUCCUCCGUCGGGAAACGGCAUAACGUCACAACUAAAAUCAUGGAGACAUGUGAGUUGAUUCAACUGAUUAGGUAACGCUUUUAUAUUCGGACAAUCCUCAAGAUAAAAAGUCGAGAUGCUUGGAGGAAGAGGAGGAAAGCACUCUAGCUCCAGAGCAGGACAGCUUCUCAAUUUCAAGGAAGUGAGAUGGGACAGUGUGUGCAGGCCUUGAGGUAAGCUUCUCAAAUUUUUGCAAUUCCAAAUUUCAAUCACUUGAAGUGACUGACGACCAUCUAGAAUUAUCUCCGCGAGCGACUUCACUCCCGGGCACCCAUCAAUUACAAGUCUCUUGAGGGUCACAGGUAAAAAUCUACCCUCACUAAAUGGAAAUGCUAGUAGAGACUUGCAUCCGUAGAUUAUUAAUUCUUGUAGACAAGACGUCAUGCCAACAUGGUUAAUGCUGCUGCUUGGUCCUUCCAGAUGAAUACUUAAUCCAGUGGGUAGAGAUUGUGACAUAUCAUAGCCACUGAUAUUUGAUGAUAUCAUUGAUGUCCAUAUGCCUGUUUCUAGAAAGGACACCAGUUUUGGACAGCAAUUGAUUUGCAAGUAUCUAAGAGAGGAGAGGGUGUGCAUCUUGCUUGGGAGCUUCUCUAAAUUGAGGCAAUAUCGCAAGUGGAUAGUUUCAAGUCUGCUGGGCAGCUUUAUAUCUCCUUCUCCAACCACAAAAGACAUUAAUUUAGGACAAUCCCAUACAUAUAAGCUUUUUAGACAACCAAGCUUCUCAACUACAUCUCUGUCUUCCCACAAGAACAUUAACUUGUUACAAUCUCUCAUCUCCAACUUCUCUAGUUUGAUCAAGAAGCUUGUAAACUCACGAUUUAAGCAAGUCAAUUCAGCAGUUUUUUUUAUGACAAGAGUGGUUAGAGAUGUCAGGUUUACCAAACUCUUCAACACCCCCUCAUUACAACCUUCAAAUUCUAACUCAUUGAGAGAUGGAAGGCUAAUAAUGUCAGAGUGCGAGGCAUCCAUACGCGGACAGGAGUUUAUUUCAAGCUUUAUGAGGGAGCUUAGUUCACUAGGCAAUCUUUUUAUCAACAUAGGACAAUCCCAAAGAAUGAGAUGCUCAAGACUGGGGAAUACAACUCCUCCUUCAGAGCCAACACAAUGAGACCAGUCCUCCCACAAUGGCAUGUUCCUAAAUUCCAAAGUUGUCAAGGAUGGAAAAGGACUUUCGGCUCCAUAAAAUUCAAAACCUAUCCUACGAAUCGCAUCUAGACCUUCGAUGUGCAGUUCUUUCAGCAAAGAUAGCCGCCCAAGUGAUGGUAAUGCUUUGGCCCUACGACACUCGUGUAAAUGUAAAUGCACUAUGUGAACAUGUGAGGGAUUUCCUAACCACGACGUUAAUUCUAUGCCACCAUAGAAGGAUAUCACGAGAUUUUCAACGUUUUGGUGUGGCUGAAGAAAGUCAAGGACCUUUGCUUCAAGCUCUUCAUCCCGGGAAUUUUCAAAAUCUUUACUCCACUGCAAGGUCAACCGACAUAUUCCCUCCUUUGUGAGUAAAUCGACGUCCUUGGCAUCUCCGGCGUCUUGAACCUUAUGCAAAUCAAAGAUGCACAAUUCCUCUCGAAGGUUCUUUAGUUUUUUUAACUCCUUCAACCUCAACUCAGUUUCCGUUCCCACUAUAAACUUGGACAGCAUCUCAAGACCCACCAAAUUAGCUAUAUACAGUGGCACCGCUCUUAGGCUCGGAGUGUCGGUAAUGUCGAGAAAUCUUAUGUUGAUAAGUUUCUCCAUAUCUUCAGGUAAUUCGAUAAGACUUUCACAGCCUCGCAACAUCAAAGUCUCGAGGUUAUACAGUCCAACAAUUGACUUUGGAAGCCUUGCAAUAUUAGUAUAUGAUAGAUUAAGGUGCCUUAGGUGCCUUACAUCACCAAUGCAAUCUGGUACCUCGCUGAUGUUGUAGUGACUUAAUGAAAGCACCCUCAAGUACUUCAAUUUUGACAGCAAGUCACAUAGCACUUUCUGGGACAAAAAGGACCUCUCCCAAGGGUGAGAAGGGUUAGAAUGCUUCCCUAAUGAUAUGAAGCUCCUAAGUCUCUUCAUUUGAUGAUAUAUUUUGAAUCUUUCUGGCACGAUGUGACGACUAGGAAUGAACGAGGCGUGACGGACUAAAGAUGCAUUAUUUUGAUCACCUUCAAACUCAAACUCGCUUGGGCCAUAAUGGGUUGCACCUGCAACUAGCUUUGCUAGGUCAUUCACAAGAUCAUGCAUCAAAAAUCGUGAUCCAUCACUACUCGACUUUUGAAAUAACGAUCUAGAUUCUAGCUCGUUGAAAUAAUUCAAACCUAAAUUCCAACGGUUCUUUCCUCCUUUUCCCUCCAAUAAGCCCUCUGCACUCCACCAAUGAAUCAACUCAUCAUGUUUGAUUUCAUAAUCCUUGGGAAAUAUAGCACAGUACGCGAAACAUCUCCUCAAAUGAGAAGGGAGAUGGAGGUAGCUAAGUUUCAAAGCUGGAAGGAUGUCAUUUCUUCCUUCUGAUAGAUUCCAAAUCUUGCUGUUCAAUAUAUCUUCCCAAUCACGGGGAUUGACUUUAGUGCGUAGCAGCCCGGCCACUGUCUUCACGGCUAAUGGCAAUCCUUUGCAUUUUUCCACUAUUUGGUGACCUAAUGCUUCAAAGCGAGGAUGGUGAUUUGAAUUUCGAAUUCCAAAAGCAUGAAAUGCGAACAAAGUCAUGCAAUCAUCUAAUGACAUUAGUUUGAGAGUUAUCAGUCGAGCAUCGGCCAUUAAAGCAACCUUGCGGUUACGAGUCGUGACAAUGAUCUUGUUUCCUUUUACUCCCGAUUCGAAAGGCUUCAAAAGGACAAUCCAUUCUCCAUAAUUCUCGUUCCAAACAUCGUCUAAAAUGAAAAGAAACUUCUUCCCUGAAAGGAUUUCCUUGAGCUUUUCCUGACACCAAUCCAGGUCUUUAUCUUGACAGGACAAAGUGGAGUUGGUUUUUUGUAGGAUACACUUUGUAAUAGCAUGCACGUCAAAAUCAUCAGAAACACAAACCCAUACUUUCACAUCGAAAUAGUGGGUCACUCCAGCAUCAUUGUAGAUCUGCUGAGCUAGAGUCGUCUUCCCAACACCCCCCAUCCCUACGAUGGCAAUCACUUCUAGAUCCGCACAUGUUCUAUCAUCUUCUUCUCUAACCAGUAAUUUGAGGAUCUCCCUCUUUUCAUCCUCCCUACUAACGAAACAGGGCUCGCGCAGAUUCGUAGUGGGAAUCGGCUUAUCUAACUGGCGGUAUGCUAAUCGCUCCCCCUCGUUCUUUCUCAGGCCCAGACCAUUUUUACGAGCUAUGAUCUCCCCUAAUCGGGCAUCCAGUUCCACCAUCUCAGAUCUCAUUUUAUGGUUGAACAUCAAUGCUCUUGGGCUCAUUGUGAAGCAACAACUGGGAAGAAGGGAAUGCACCUUGCUAGUGCCAAAUUCUGCCUUGAACUUGCUUUUAGUAGAUUCUAUCGUGAACUCUUCAAGCAAGUCUUCAAUGUCGUAGGCCAAGUUCUCGAGAUCUUCAAGCCACGACUUCACGUCAUGAUAGCCAGUGAGUUGUUUGUCCUCUGCAUCAUUCAACACUUCAUUGAUACUCUUCAGCAUCUUCUCCCAUUUCUUAAAUAGCUUAUCAAUCCUCUCACGCUGCGCAAAUUUGGACAGCUCGUGAGAGGCCAACCUCUCGAACAGCACUUGAAGAAAGGCACCAAGAAAGAGCUCUGCGAUGGGCAUGGCUUGGUUUAUGAGUGGCAGAGAUUAAACAAGACUGCCCAGAAGAGUCGAAACAAAGGUAGAGGGCGAAGAGAAAACAAAAGUUAUUCGCUUCAGGACACCAGUAUCAAAUGAUGGUGUGAAGCAAAUGACUUUUCAAGCACUAGAGUGCAGCAAAUGACUUUUCAAGCACUAGAGUGCUCUUUCUUUCUUGGAAGAAGCUGUCGUUGCAUUUCAUCUCGUCUCAUUUGAUCUAAUUUCAUUUGCAUUUCAUCUCAGUCUCAUUUCCACCCCGACGGUUUUCUAUCGAGUCCCGUCAUUUCCCUGUACCACGCCCGGGCAGACCCCGGGGAAGGCGUCGUAGGGAUCAGGGAGGGGCCCCCUUUACCCCCGAGGGGUUGUGGCCGGGGUAACCCCAUGGGGCCGGAAUCUUUUUCGAGGCCCGGAUCCCGGCCUCUACCUGGACUUUCCCAGAGUGGUCAAAGCCUUUUAAGGUCAUGUUUAGGACCUGAUCUAAUUUCAUUUGUGGUGCCUCUAAUUUCAUUGAGCAACUUAGUCAGACAUGGGACCAAGUCUUGGCAUCAUUAAAGCCACCAGAGGCUCAGUAGGGAAAGAAGUGGGCCCGACUCCUACCCAACCUCGAAACUUCUGCUCUAUUAAUGUUCAUCAUUUCUAUCUCGCCACUCACUUCACCCAAUUCCCAAAUGCAACCAUCCAGUAUCCACCACCACCAUGCAUCACAUCGAUCACGCGGCAUCAUGGUUUCACUGAUGCAGCCUCAUGAACCCCGUCCCGUUAUCAAAUAAAGGAGCAGUUAUUACAUAAACUUAAUGUAUGUAAUUUGUAUCAUCAUUAACCACUAUUUCACGUAACACGAGAUCCCCCCAUACUGAAAGUCGCAAAAUUUUCAUUGUCGAUUGCUCAACGAGUGUCCACAAACACUUGAUAACAAAAUCAUUUUUAAAUGAUGAUGAGAAAGAAAAAAAUUGUUACUUUCUCUUCAAUUUUGUGGUUGUCACCUAAAUUUGCUCUCUCAGAUAUAUAUCGGAUUAGAUUAGAUGGAAAUAGCAGGUGGCUAUUAUCGAAUAAUUGCAGACUUCAAGCUUCAAUUUGUCCCCGCCAAUAAUGAUUAUAUUUAUAGCAAAGCUCCUUGUUUUAUUUGGUCCGCAAGGUCAACAAAAAACAUACUUAUUGUUUUGUCCCAAGAAGACAGGAGCUACCUAAUUUCAAUAUGCCCACCAGCCAUUCAAAAGGUGGAAUUAUAUACACACACACUUAUUCAUACCUUAUUACUAUAAUGUGCAUAAAUGUUGCAUUAGCGGUACAAAAUAGCUAAAUCCCAAGAUUGCAGUUUCUGCUAUGGCAUCACAUCAAAAUAAAUAAUCAAUGUGUCCACAGAUCUUUGUUGCCUCUAUGCCUAACAAAGAUCACAGGAAAGAUUGCCUUAUACUUUCUGGAAGUCUAACAGAAUAAUAGCCCCACGGGCCACGACAAAAGGGUAAGCAGAAGCAGACAGGAUUGAUUAACCAUGCGAUUGGCUUAAUGGUUACAUAAUUGACACAUAAGGGAGAAUUGAGUGUCUGUAUUAUUUGAAUUUCUCAAACAACUAGAUGCAAAUGAAUUGGUUGUCGAUUAGAUAUUUCAACCAAGUUUUAAUCCGCUUCUUACCUAACUUAUAAAAAUAGUAGGGUACUUUAUGAAUUUAGAAUUACCUGGGCAAGGUCGUUUUUUCGUUGUCAAGAGAAAAAACAUUUAUGCUAGCAAAAUACCUUUUCCUUUGGAAAGUUACUAAAGAUAAGUAUAGUUAAGGAUAACCUUUUGUGGCUUUCUCUGUGGAAGAUUGGGAACUGUUGAUGUUUAAUGCUCAAAUUUUUCUCGUUAGGAGAAGCUUCCUAAGAAUCUGGCCAUUGAAAUCACAUGGCAGCUUAUGAAGAACCAAUGGUCCUUUCUCCACUGUGAUAAGUCUUUUUGGGGGUAAAAGAGAGAGAGAAGAAAUUUUGACAAAUUUGUGAUGGUCUAAUGUACAAUCAUUGAUGAGGCCACGAGCAUCAUAGUUGAAAUAUACCUGACCAUAGAGGGCACACGGCGGCUUCUGAGGAGCUUCCUAAUUGGCAUUGCGCAUGGCACACUUCAAAACUUUGACUUAAUGGCCCUUUCCCUAUCAUUGUAAAUCUUUUCGAUAUAUAUUGUGACAAAUGAACAGAUGUUCUUUGUGAUUCACUGAUGAGGCCACGAGCAUUGUAGUUGAGAUACAUGCGCGUGGCAUUUGCCUGAUGCUGAAUAAUCCUCAAAGAGAGGGCCACAGUCGAGCAGGUAUACAUGAAAUCUUUUGAAAAGGACGGUGGGUAUUAAACAGGAUUCAAACUAGAAAUUAGCCAUCUCAAGUAAGCUAAUUAGCACAAUGAACCCAACAAAAAUAAAGAGAAACGAUGCAGGAUAAUGCUAGGAUAAUACCACUAGUUUACGAAAUUGGUAAAGUGACACAACAAAUUUUUAAUUACGGUAGAUAUGACUCACUUUAUUAAUUUCAGUUGUAGAUCAAUCAAGUAUUUUUAUAUCAUAUUUACAUUAUUAAAAGCGUGAAAUUAAAAUGAAAAAUGUAUAUUUGCAACCAUGUAUGAUUAAUGUGAAUCUGAAUAUGUGGGUUUAGAUUUUUUUUAUAUUUAUUAUCGUGAUUUUUUUUUUUUUUUUUGGUGCCAAGGAUUGCCAAGUACAUAAAAGUUUACAUUUUAUUUAGACAAUUACGUAAAAUUAAGGAAAAAAAGGUUGAAGGUGGGAGCAGCAAAAGACGAGAGCGGCAUUAGAAGACUACUUUCCCUCAUCUAUGGCCAAUGAAUGGUUCAACUAAUCCCUUUUUAACGUAUUAGCUUAGAAUCGGGCUUACAAAAUUUUCCUUCCGGUAGGUCUUCUAGGAUUUUCGUGCACUUCUUGUGGGGGAUGAGAUCCUUUAUCUCUGUUUGUAUGCUCGUGACUCCGUAAUUAAUAUCUCAUUCAUCGCAACCGUUAAUCCAUGUGAAUAGGGAUAAUCAUAAUACUUCAGUUUUAAUAUAUUUACAAUUGAGAUCAUCCGCGAUAGAGUUAUUAAGCGGCCAACACUUGUUGGUUGUUACCACACCGUCAAUUUUCUUAGCCCGGAAUCCUUCCACAAUCCAAAAUAGUUUUGCUUUUAUUUAUUAAUUUUUUCCUGCAAAUCGAUUGAAUCACUAUGACAUCAUAUCUUAAAAAAAUGCCCAAUAUGGAGGAUUGUGCUUUCAAAAUGACCCGAGGAGUGGACUAGUUUUGGUGUGUGAACACUUCUUUCAGAUACCACUUGAUUGCUAGGUGAAAAAGGAAAAAACAUAACAUUAAUUGUUCAUUGGUCUCGAAAUCAAAUAAUAAAAUUUCAAGGCGGCAAGGUCAAAUAAGAUAGGCUUAUGUUUUAUAAGGAGAAUAGUGUGAUUACCUAACUACAGUCCGUCUAGUACGAGCAUUUUGAUAUAGAGAAGAGAUUUUUCCAUUAAUUUAACCAUCGGUGAAUGUCCACUAUAAGUUUCCAACUAAAUUGAAGCAGAGGCCAUCCUUCUUGCUCACAACCUCAGAAAAGGAUCUGGAGCUCCCAAACAUCAUCAACGAAAACGAUUGCAAAGUUAGUCAUGGAUGCUUUGCUCUACCCUCUCGCCCCUUGUCCUUGGGAGAUUCGGCCCCAGGUCUAUGCUUUCCUCUAACUCCAGGAAAGGCCAAGAUCGAGUGUAACCUGGUCCUCCCAUUUCUCCAACAAAUAAUGUCUUCUUGGAUGGCUCUUUAGAUGAUCACCAAAUGACAUUACUAUUCUAACAAAAAAAGAAAAACAAAAACAAAACCGUGUAUUAAGACAUUUAUUUAAUUGAAGAAUUAUGCGAUGUUUCAAACUUCUCUUAAUUGUUGCAUAUGAUCCAUUUUUUUAAAUGUUCUUUUGCAGUUUGUUGUAUCACUUGAUAUAUCACCCUAGUUUAUCAUUCUUAACGUUAUCUAUCUUUUAAUCAUCCCUACAAAUGGAGAGCGCUGGCUAACCUUGACUGCCGAUCGAUCUAAUACUCUACUCUUUCAUUUUUUUUCCAUGGCUUAAGUAGUUUAUACAUUAAAAUAUUCAUCGCAUUCUUGACGUUGGUUAAUGCAUAGCAAAAUCUAUCAUCCUUCCAACACAAAAUUGUACAUGAGAAAAUUCAUAAGAUUUUCACUUCAAUCGAAUGCUAUUCUAUAAGGUAGUUUACAUUAGGAGUUCGGAAAGGUGGCUUGAUUAUAGAAACAUCAGUAAAUGCCAUAAUUCUUUCAAAGUUUCAAUAUUAAAUGUUAUAUCUUCAAAGUCUUUAUUAUUUCCUAAAAUUGUUAUACUUAAAUGGGGCAAGAUUAAAUGUGAUUCACAAUGGUGACUAAAUCUUUCAUUUUAUCCUUGUUUUCACCGGACAUUUUAUUCCUUACUUAGGUUGAUAAUAUUGGUAAUCUAAUAAAUCCAAAUCUCAACAAGAAAAUGCUAUUCGAGUUCAUGAUGAAUCAUACUCAAGAUUUGUUCAAGUCAGAUUGGUGAUGUGUCACGUGGAUAGUCGACGAUAACUGGACUGUCACAUUAGUAAAUUUAGGCUAAAAUUGACCGAAAUGACUAUAAUGAAAACUUUGGAAAUUCAUUAGGAAAAUUGAAAAAUUUAGGAUUACAUUGGAAUCUGUACAAUAGCCUUCUUUAAAACUAAAUCUGUAAUUUUUUCCUUUAAAACAGUUUUAGCAAAGUGGGCAUCAUAUAACAGUUACGACAAUGAUAUCGUUUUUAUCCUAAUUUUUUUGGAUGAGCUUUUGUAAAUUUAGGAUCAUCCUGGUCUUUCUCCGCCUCGCAUGUCCAUCUGUUGUUUUAUUUAAACACGAAUAAGGUCCACAAUCCACUACAGGUCUUUAGAGGACAAUAAUAUUUGCUUUUCCUUUUGCUUUAUAUUUCAAAAGUGACAUUUACAUCGUGAAGCAUUUCUAGCUAGAGACGUGGUGCGUUUCAAAUGGACAUGCGACAUUUGAUUGGACAAACUUUUGUGAAUUUAGGACCAUCUUAGUCUUUCCGCAUCUUUGCAUGUUCAUCCGUUGUUUUAUUCGGACACAAAGUAGUGAAAGUCUUUCUAAUAAGGUCCACCCUCCACUAUAAUGUCUGCUUUUCCUUUUUCUGUUUUUCCAAAGUGACUUUAAUGUCACGAAUCAUUUUACAGCUAAUAAAGUGGAAACGUUUUACAUGUAAGAGGGUAAUACUCCACCACAUGUCCAUAGAGGCACAUGUCCAUAGAGGACAGGACAAUAAUGCCUUCCCCUUUUGCUGUCUUCCCAAAGUAACUGGGGCCUUUCACAUGGCAAUGUGACGUUCGAUGGAACGUGAAUAAGAAAAAGUAACUGUACUAACAAGGUCCAUCCUCCUACACAGGUCCUCAUAGGACAAUAUGCCACCUUCUGCUUUUGCUUUUUGCAAUAGUGACAAUGUAUGAUUGGACACGAAGAAGUUGAGUACAACCACGAUGUAUUUCAAUCAAAAUAACCACAACUUGUCGUUCAAAGGAACUGCCAUUAGGGUGCUCGUUAAUUAAUUAAUAAAAGUCUUAUUGUACUGAUUUUACCCCAGAAUAUGUAGGACCAGCUUGUUGGAAAUGGAUAUCUCAUUUUUAAGUAAAUUGAAAAAUAUACAUGGAUCUAAUAAUUGCCCUAGCUUUCGAAACAAUUGGAAUUUGACCCGUGCAAUUGUGUAGAAUUGAUUAAAAUUUACACUUCAACACUUACAUUUUGCUUUUUAUAAAAAAAUUUAUUAUUGUAGAAAAUAGCAUUUGCAAAAUAUAUUAUAAAUGUCAUGGUUACUUAGUUAAUACAAGAUAGAUAAAAUAAAUAAAUAAAAACAUGGCAAUACAAGGAAAUACAUAUAAGUCAAACUAAAAAUAUAUGUCAUUACAUUUAUCUUGAUUUUUGUUGCAAAAGAACAAAUGAAUAAUAACAAUAAAGAAGACAGAAAAGUAAAUUGGAAAUUGGAUUUAUGUAGGUCAAUAAUCCAAUUUGUGGGGAGAGUAGCAUUAAAUUUCACUAUAGAUCAAGUCAUGUUAUGAAAGUUAUAACAACACUUGAGAUAUUCAAAUACUCUCAAGUUUUUCAAUCCCCAAUUAUAUCAAAUAACUCACACAGUAUUUGCCUGCACAAUUUCUUGCGAAACAAUUACUAAAUCUCACUAAGGAAUUAUAGAAGCUUGACCAACAUUUUUAUAGCUAUCAAACACUCAGUGAUUAAUUCUCUCUGAAUAUAAGUAACGAACUUAUGCACAGCCUUGCAUGUUGAAGUUGAAGUAUUCACUGAACUUGUACGAAAAAGCACUCCACAAACAGCAUUAGGGGGGGGGGGGGGGGGGGGGGAAGGCCCCCGUGGGAGUGGCAAGUAUGGUCGUUACAAAUGAAGUUGAAGUAUUCACUACUUACUCAUAGGUCAUGACCCGAGCUACUUUGUAGGAGCCCAAAAAAAGACGUGGCAUUUGGUAACAAUGCAAUUAGUAAUUCUAAUUUCAUUUUGGCAUGACGUUUCUCGUGAUCUUCACUUUGGGACAAUGAUUUUGUAAUUCUAAUUAACAUGUUGCCUUCUAUCGUUCCCCCACUCAUACCAUUACCACGGAAGAGGCAUUGACCUGCUCUAUGACCUGAGGCUUGCAGGUCCAGCCUGCCUCCUUAAAACACAGUACCAACAAGUCCAUAUUCAGACCUACAUUGCUUAGAUUUAUAACUAACUUUCUAAGGCUCUGAAGUAGGAUGAAUAAGUACUCUCUUAUCAUUAUUAUGCUUUAUCAAAUAUUACAUGAUGACACAAAAUUUAUUCAAUCUGAAAUGACUCGAAGCAUUCAACAUAGAGGUAAAACUCCCCAUAAAAAGAUUUUAGGUGGUGAAUUUUUUGAGUGGGUUUCAACUUAGUUUUUAAGUUCUUUUCUACUUUAUGUGCGAUUUGGAGUUUCACAAACUCUCCCACUUAUAAUGCUAGUGUCCUCAUAAUUGUCAACUCAUAUUGGGCAGUGAUAUAUCCUAUUCUACCGAGAGUUGUACUUUUUCAAGCUCACACAUUAUGGCCAUCAUUCACCGCUUUGUUGGAUUAGUCAUCCAGUCCAUUCCCAAAUCAUACAUCUACAACAAAGAAUCUUGCUAAGAUUCAUUGUGACACGACGCGUUUAUUGUUCAUGUCCAUUGCAUGGAUUAGCCUAUGCUGACAGGCUUGAGUUAAACUAUUUAUUACUAUCAUGGGAAUAAAAAAAGAAGAAAGGUUUGGUCUAGAAGUGACCAUAAGAAUUGAGAUCAUAUUCCCAAAUCACAUAUGGCUUUAUUUGGACAGGAAUAAGGUCCUCAGUCCACCACAAGUCCUUGGAGGAUAAUAACGCCCGCUUCUCCUUUUGCUUUUCUUCUAGAGUAACCCUAAUGCCGUGAAUCAUUUGCAUCUCCAAACGUGGCACGUUUCACAUUGCUAUGCUUCGUUUGAUUGGAUGAACUUUUGUGAAAUUAGGACCAUCUUGGUCUUUCCACAUCUUGCGUGUCCAUUUGUUGUUUUAUUCGGACAUGAAGCAUCAAAGACUCAAUUAUAAGGUCCCCUUGUGUAGAAUUGAUCCCUUACACAAGCACGACAUAAUGUGGAUGUAAUUGCAUCAAUGGAAUAACUGGGGGAAUGAUGACUAACAACAUAACAGACAAGGAAUUUUGAACCACCGACAUGUGCUUUAAUACAAUGCUAGAAAUGAACAAGUAGAAUGCGGACAAUUUGUUGGAACUAUAACAAAACAAGUAGAAUGCGGACAAUUUGCUAAUACUUCAGAAGAGAUUCUUCUCAGAUUCUGAUUAUACCCAUGAUAAUUACCCGCCUCCUAAACAGCCAGUCAAGAAAUAGCAGAAACAAAUCUACUCACCCUGACUUUGCCAGCUAGCAACGCCAAAGUCCAGGGCUAUGCACUUUUGAUUCCAUGAAGCAGAAUAUGAAAAGUCAUCAAAAUGAACAAAGGGCAAAGAUUUCAUUGAGUGCUAUCCAGUCCACGAAAUGCCUUCAUUGCCGGAAUGGAAGGGUUGAAGCGCAAUAAAUCCAUUUCCCCCAUAGAUUUCAAUGUGUAUCACAGUAUGCUCAGAAAUUAGAAGAUUGUGAGUGUGGGAAUAAGUACUUUGCAUCGGUAAAUGCAGAAAGAAAGUUAAUACCAAGUUCAUUCCACUUCUGGUGAAUGCUGCAAAAGUUAUUUUUGCAUGUCAGAAUUAGAGAAAUAAGGGAAAUUAGUCAGGUAAAUUCCACUACUUAGUAAAUGUGUUCAAAUGGAGGUUCCAGACUAAAACAGGAAAGAGGAUUUAAAGCAUCUAACUGCCAUUCACAUGACAAGAACUUGUUUUAUCCAUCUGAAGUUCUGAGCUACACUUUUUCAAGGAGAUGAAACUUUCAAACAUUUUCAAACUUGUCUUUCAUAUUGAUUAUGUCCAGAAUUUAGAUUCAUCCAGUGGAUUGAACAUCAGGAUAAAACAGACACUUACUAAACAGGAAAGAUAACAUAUAUACAUACCUAUCCCUGUGAGUAAUUUGAGAACCAACUAAUCAUGAAAAAGUCCAGAUCUUAAGAACAGAGUUUGCAGUAGCAUGUCCCUUCUUCUCUACAACAAGGAGCAAUCUCACAUCCAAGGUCCCCUUCAGCAUCUUCUCCUAGGCUAAAUACCGGUGAGGCAAUGGUGAAGGAAAGGGUAUAUAGACCUUUCUAUAGGUCACUGGGUCGUACCAACAAACUUCACCCAUGGAAUUCCAAUGUAAUCUGAAAGGGAAGCAAGAUUUAGAGAUUUGAUGAAUGAGAGAGAGCACAGUGAUGACAAAAGAAUUGGUUGAGGAGUAAGAGAACUGCUAGAAUGCAAAAAUAAGCUGAGAAUUCCAAAUUCAAAUGCAACAGUCUGUUAAUAAGAUCCCAGAUUUUUAUUUCAUUUUUGCUGGAUCGAAGAUAUCAUGGGAAGCAGCCCAAUGGAUAGGGGAACCAAUGCAGAAUCUGAGAAGGGAAGUGACUAUGAGUAGAAGAGUAGAGGAGUAGUAAAUAACAAGAUCAAUACCUUGAUUUUAAUUAAAUCUUCAUGAGAUGGAGACGGUGAUGGAGGUGAGGACAACGGACUGGAGAGGCAAAGCAUAGGUAGGUGAUUGAGGUGUAGACCACAUGGGGAAGGAGAUGAUGAAAGAGAUAUUUUUUACACCCCUAAGUUACGCCCAAAAGCUAUCUGCAAAAAAUUAAGACACACUUAUUAAGUACACAUAUAAUUUAAGAUUGCAAUUAGGGAAUUAUCUCAGUACAAGUUUUACUUUUAGGUCCAAAUUUUAUAACUACGAAAGUUUUAAUGCAACCACUCAUAAGAGUAACAUCAUUUCGACCGAGGUGUGAUUGUAAAUCUAUUCCCAAGAGCUGCCGUAAACAAGUCCAUCCUUCACAUGGCUGAAAUGGAGCGGUUAUAAGUCUUGGACAUGUCAUGUAUAUAUAUCCAAGACAAAGCGAACUUAAAUAACAUUCGCCUCACCAGAAGUUGUCUGCUGUGAUACCAAUCAGCUUUUCACUCAGAGAUGAUAAUUUACUUGCAGAUUGCUUGAAUACAGUAACCUGCAAAUGCAAAAAGAAACCUAGCUAUGAAUUCUGAACAUCUAUCCCGAGUCUUCAUCAAAGGGGAAGGAAUAACAUAUCCUAGAAGUACAAUGAUGCAUAAGACAAUCAAUUCCUCGAACCAUAAGCAGUUAAAUCACAAUGCUCAAUCAUAUAUUUUGAAGCUAGAGACUUCGCCCAUCCAUUGGCAGGGAUUUAUAAUUAUCGAAAGUGAGAGGGCUCAAGGCAAAGUGAGAACUUUUUCAUAGGAAGUACUAAUUCUAUCAAUUAAUGACAAUCUACAUAUGUUUUGAAUAAUCAUAAGACUGGAAGAUUCCAAGUCACGUAGCCGUAAUUGAUUAACAUCUAUUACUCUGCAUAUAUACUCUAAGUUCACAAAAGUCCAUAGAAUGUGUAUAAGACUCCCUCAACAACGACCAUCUUCUAUAUGGGAUCCAAAAAUAGUAUGUAGAGAUUGACAGUGAUUUAAAAGACCUUGUUUUGUUCUGCCUGGUCCUUUGACUAUGAUGAGUAUAAAACAAGAUGCCAAACAUAUGCAGACACGCCUUCAGGAAAUUUGAUCACUGAUAAAAAGGAACAGAUGAAGGUUCCAAUACAUUGACAGCCACAUCACCUCCAGGCUUUAAAAGCCAAAAACAUGUAAAUAUCUGCAUCGCUCAAAUCUUGGAUGGUGAGUAAACUGCCGGAAUGGAAGGGUUGAGGCGCAAUAAAUCUGUUUCCCACAUAGAUCUUGAUGUGCAUCACAGUAUGCUCAGAAAUAAAGAUCACAUGUGUGGGAAUAAGUAUGUUGUCUUUGUAAAUGCAGACUGAAAGUUAAUAC
rnacentral:lncRNA from 1 species